AUUGCUUCUUGGCCUUUUGGCUAAGAUCAAGUGUAAAAUAUUUUUUUAGUUUCAUUCUAGUUUCAUCAAUGGGUAAAACUUGUACGAUGCCAGAAUUAACCUCAAUGUUAUGAACCAUUUCUUUCUUUUUUUUUUUAGAUGGAGUCUUGCUCUUUUACCUAGGCUGGAGUGCAGUGGCACAAUCUCAGCUCACUGCAACCUCC
rnacentral:snRNA from 1 species